rnacentral:rRNA from 1 species
AGAGUUUGAUCCUGGCUCAGGAUGAACGCUAGCGGCAGGCUUAACACAUGCAAGUCGAGGGGCAUCGGGAGGGAAGCUUGCUUUCCUUGCCGGCGACCGGCGCACGGGUGAGUAACACGUAUGCAACCUGCCCUCUUCAGGGGGACAACCUUCCGAAAGGGAGGCUAAUCCCGCGUAUAUCGGUUUCGGGCAUCCGAGAUCGAGGAAAGAUUCAUCGGAAGAGGAUGGGCAUGCGGCGCAUUAGCUAGACGGCGGGGUAACGGCCCACCGUGGCGACGAUGCGUAGGGGUUCUGAGAGGAAGGUCCCCCACACUGGUACUGAGACACGGACCAGACUCCUACGGGAGGCAGCAGUGAGGAAUAUUGGUCAAUGGGAGAGAUCCUGAACCAGCCAAGCCGCGUGAGGGAAGACGGCCCUAUGGGUUGUAAACCUCUUUUGUCGGAGAACAAAACCCGGGACGUGUCCCGGACUGCGUGUAUCCGAAGAAAAAGCAUCGGCUAACUCCGUGCCAGCAGCCGCGGUAAUACGGAGGAUGCGAGCGUUAUCCGGAUUUAUUGGGUUUAAAGGGUGCGUAGGCGGUCCGUUAAGUCAGCGGUAAAAUUGCGGGGCUCAACCCCGUCGAGCCGUUGAAACUGGCAGACUUGAGUUGGCGAGAAGUACGCGGAAUGCGCGGUGUAGCGGUGAAAUGCAUAGAUAUCGCGCAGAACUCCGAUUGCGAAGGCAGCGUACCGGCGCCAGACUGACGCUGAGGCACGAAAGCGUGGGGAUCGAACAGGAUUAGAUACCCUGGUAGUCCACGCAGUAAACGAUGAAUGCUGGUUGUCCGGGUCGAAUGAGACCUGGGCGGCGAAGCGAAAGCGAUAAGCAUUCCACCUGGGGAGUACGCCGGCAACGGUGAAACUCAAAGGAAUUGACGGGGGCCCGCACAAGCGGAGGAACAUGUGGUUUAAUUCGAUGAUACGCGAGGAACCUUACCCGGGCUCAAACGGGAGUGGAAUGGACCAGAGACGGUUCAGCCUACGGGCCGCUUCCGAGGUGCUGCAUGGUUGUCGUCAGCUCGUGCCGUGAGGUGUCGGCUUAAGUGCCAUAACGAGCGCAACCCCCGCCGGCAGUUGCUAACGGGCAAUGCCGAGGACUCUGCCGGGACUGCCGCCGCAAGGCGUGAGGAAGGCGGGGACGACGUCAAAUCAGCACGGCCCUUACGUCCGGGGCGACACACGUGUUACAAUGGGCGGUACAGCGGGAAGCCAGGCGGCGACGCCGAGCGGAACCCGAAAGCCGUUCUCAGUUCGGAUCGGAGUCUGCAACCCGACUCCGUGAAGCUGGAUUCGCUAGUAAUCGCGCAUCAGCCAUGGCGCGGUGAAUACGUUCCCGGGCCUUGCACUCACCGCCCGUCAAG